AUUAUGAUCGAGCUGCAGAUAUAUUUCAGAAAGUUUUUAAAAAUUUUGCUUGGAACUGAUGGUGCUUCUCAGCUGUCUAUGGCUUAAAGGCAUUGAACCUUAUUAGGUAGCCGUUCAUCUGCUAGAGGUCAUUAUGGUGGUCAAUAUACUUCAGUGUACGGUUCAACUGCACACGACAGUGUUCUGUAGGUCAGUGAACUAUUUGAUCAGUAAAAUGAGUUUAAGGGCUGUUUGGCAACAUAUAUAUACUCUUGGAAACAUAUAUAUACUUUUACUUUACUGCAUAAUACUCUCACAUCGAUUUGUAUUAGUUUCCUUCACAAGUUCACAACUUAAUCGUGGUGAUCCAUGGAGUGUGCACAGAAUAUGAACCGCACUAAAGACGACCGCAGAUGUGGAUAUGUGUAGUGUUUUGUGUCCACAACUUAUGAUGGUUUUGGUGGCGUUGAUUGUUGGUGAUUGCGGCGGCAGAGAUGGUUGGU
rnacentral:lncRNA from 1 species